rnacentral:rRNA from 1 species
CCUACGGGUGGCAGCAGUAGGGAAUUUUCGUCAAUGGGCGCAAGCCUGAACGAGCAAUGCCGCGUGAACGAGGAAGGUCUUCGGAUCGUAAAGUUCUGUUGAAGGGGAAAAAGAGCGGAGAGAGGAAAUGAACUCCGAUUGAUAUUACCCUUCGAGGAAGUCACGGCUAACUACGUGCCAGCAGCCGCGGUAAUACGGAGGUGGCGAGCGUUAUCCGGAAUGAUUGGGCGUAAAGGGUGCGUAGGCGGCCUGCUAAGUCUGGAGUGAAAGGUACCGGCUCAACCGGGACAGGCUCUGGAAACUGGCGGGCUAGAGAGCAGGAGAGGGCGGUGAGACUCCAUGGGUAGCGGUAAAAUGCGGAGAUAUAUGGAAGAACACCAGUGGCGAAGGCGGCCGCCUGGCCUGUUGACUGACGCUGAGGCACGAAAGCGUGGGGAGCAAAUAGGAUUAGAUACCCCUGUAGUC